rnacentral:rRNA from 1 species
UCCUACGGGGCGCAGCAGUGAGGAAUAUUGGUCAAUGGUCGGGAGACUGAACCAGCCAAGCCGCGUGAGGGAGGAGGGUACAGAGUAUCGUAAACCUCUUUUGUCAGGGAACAAAGACUGGGACGCGUCCCCGGAUGAGUGUACCUGAAGAAAAAGCAUCGGCUAACUCCGUGCCAGCAGCCGCGGUAAUACGGAGGGUGCGAGCGUUAUCCGGAUUUAUUGGGUUUAAAGGGUGCGCAGGCGGAAGAUCAAGUCAGCGGUAAAAUUGAGAGGCUCAACCUCUUCGAGCCGUUGAAACUGGGGAU